rnacentral:rRNA from 1 species
UACGAAGGGGGCUAGCGUUGCUCGGAAUUACUGGGCGUAAAGCGCACGUAGGCGGCUUCUUAAGUCGGUGGUGAAAUCCUGGAGCUCAACUCCAGAACUGCCUUCGAUACUGGGAAGCUCGAGUCCGGGAGAGGUGAGUGGAACUGCGAGUGUAGAGGUGAAAUUCGUAGAUAUUCGCAAGAACACCAGUGGCGAAGGCGGCUCACUGGCCCGGUACUGACGCUGAGGUGCGAAAAGCGUGGGGAGCAAACAGG